CAUUGGAAUAUGACUGUAGGAUAAACAAAAUAUCAACAUUUUUGUUGUUAUCUUUCUUUUGGUUCUUCAAUUGAUUCUUCUAUCCUCAACUCAAGCUUUAGAAUCAAUAGGAGAUAGCAAGACUCAAAAUUUCACAACCCCACUUCCUGUUAAUUUAUUUCAAUUCAGAGAUGCAUCUAUGGCCAACAAAGAAUCUCCGAGACUCCUUCAAAAUUUCUUACCUCAGAAGGCUCGAAUGGAACAACCGUAGAAUGGAAAUGGAGAAGGACCAACAAUCCUCAACGGAACAGAAGCUUCUGGAAAAUGAUAACCAAGAUAAUAGCAACGGCCAAGCACCCAACCUCCUCAAUUGUGAAGCUGGAUCGGUAACUUCCCUCUUUCACGAGGUGUUGCUGGUUCUCUCUUGCUGCUACUGUUGCUUUUGCUGCGGUGCUUGUUUUGAUGAGAAAUGAGGAGCUACAUGGCUGCGCUUCUGCUCUGUCCUCAUGCUCUUGGUGACAAUUUGUGCAAAGUAGAAUGAUCAAAUUUUGUACAGCUGGUUAUGGAUUUUCUUACAAUUAUUUAGAUAUUAUUAUACAAUUAUUCUGCUGUAUGAGUGUUAAAAGGCCAAAGGGUAUUAAAUAGAUUAAUUAAUGUAGGUUAAGUAGCAUAUAAGUUUUUUUCUUGAAAAGAAGUGGUGGAGGUGAGAUUUGAUCCAUAUUCCCUCU